rnacentral:rRNA from 1 species
UACGGGGGGGCAAGCGUUGUUCGGAAUUACUGGCGUAAAGGGCUCGUAGGUGGCCAACUAAGUCAGACGUGAAAUCCCUCGGCUUAACCGGGGAACUGCGUCUGAUACUGGAUGGCUUGAGAUUGGGAGAGGGAUGCGGAAUUCCAGGUGUAGCGGUGAAAUGCGUAGAUAUCUGGAGGAACACCGGUGGCGAAGGCGGCAUCCUGGACCAACACUGACACUGAGGAGCGAAAGCCAGGGGAGCAAACGGG